rnacentral:ncRNA from 1 species
UAUGCGGAAGCCGAAAAGCAAAGAGUAGGCG